AGAGUUUGAUCCUGGCUCAGAACGAACGCUGGCGGCGUGGAUAAGACAUGCAAGUCGAGCGCUGAUUACAGGGUAGCAAUAUUCUGUGGUCGGAGCGGCGCAAGGGUGCGUAACACGUGGGUAAUCUGCCAUGAAGUUUGGAAUAACUUGCUGAAAGGCGAGCUAAUACCGGAUGUGACAAUUAGGAGGCAUCUUCCGAUUGUCAAAGCUGGGGACCGUAAGGCCUGGCGCUUCAUGAUGAGCCCGCGGCCUAUCAGCUAGUUGGUGAGGUAACGGCUCACCAAGGCUAAGACGGGUAGCUGGUCUGAGAGGACGACCAGCCACACUGGAACUGAGACACGGUCCAGACACCUACGGGUGGCAGCAGUCGAGAAUUUUUCACAAUGGGCGCAAGCCUGAUGGAGCGACGCCGCGUGGGGGAUGAAUGGCUUCGGCCCGUAAACCCCUGUCAUUUGCGAACAAAUUGGUUCAAUUAACACCUGAACCAUUGAUAGUAGCGAAAGAGGAAGGGACGGCUAACUCUGUGCCAGCAGCCGCGGUAAUACAGAGGUCCCAAGCGUUGUUCGGAUUCACUGGGCGUAAAGGGUGCGUAGGUGGUGAGGUAAGUCGGAUGUGAAAGCUCGGAGCUCAACUCCGAAAUGGCAUUGGAAACUACCUUGCUCGAGGGUUGGAGGGGGGACUGGAAUACUUGGUGUAGCAGUGAAAUGCGUAAUAUCAAGUGGAACCCAGUGGCGAAGGCGAGUCCCUGGACAACUCCUGACACUGAGGCACGAAAGCUAGGGGAGCAAACAGGAUUAGAUACCCNNGUAGUCC
rnacentral:rRNA from 1 species